AACUUCCUAGAUUUCCUUCCCUUUUCUUUCUCAUGCAAAACGUGUUCCUUCCCCUUCCCCACCUUCUAACAGCAGAUUUCUCACGCAAACCGUGUUCCUUCCCCUUCCCCACAUUCUAAAGGAGGACUUUCAAAAUGCUGUCCACCAAAACAGCCAAACCCAUUCCAAAUAGCCCUUACUUUAUAACGCCAACCCUUUCUUUAUCCCCUCCUUUUGCUCUACCUGUGUUCAAUGGUUUCAAAACUUCAGCCCUUCAGCUUGCUAACACCAACAUCUCUCUCUUCCAAAGACAGUUUCAAAACUUAAGACCUUUGGCUUUCUAAAACAGAAUAUUUGAUGAUUCACUUCAGACCUUUAAAACUUGAACAAAACACUAGGUGGAGCUAUUGAAGAGGAGGCAGAUUUCACAGAAACAGACAUCCUCGGCAGUUAAGACGGAGUGCUGAUAUGCUCCCAUGAUGUAACACUGGAUCUCGAUAAUAGAGCAAAUAUUGCAAACUUCAGUCAGUUUGCUGAUCGAAAAAGAACUUAUGAGGUCUAGGGUGUGAAUAUGACUGGGUUUUUAGGUUACUAUGGUGAGAAUUACAGAAAGAGUCGUUAAUCUUUACUUUGCCGGACUAUAUUUUAGCAAGCCUGGGAAAAAUGGCAUUCUAAGUGUGGAUGCACGUCCCUCAGGUGCCAUAAAUGUGGCAAAUAGAUGCAAGGCACCAAUAUUUGUAAGUAGACAAAUUGUCUUGGAAGAUGCUAUUAAAAUUGGUUAUGGAAUGGGCUGAACACAUGAUACUAAGUCUACUUAUGAUGUGUCCCUUGACAAGUAUUGUGCGCAUAGUUGGGGACCUUAUAAUUGCUAUCAUUUGUUAUUGUUGUAUCUCGUAGCAUGAGUUAUUUCUUCUCCAGUGCUGCAGAUGGUCCAGAUAUACUGUCGGACCUGCUUGAUUUUUUAUGUAUUUAUUUAAAUGUUAAAUUUUGUAUAAUGGGUUUUAUUUAUUUUGA